rnacentral:vault_RNA from 1 species
UUGCCAGCUAUGUCAAGUGGGUACAUCGUUCAUUAGUCAAUUGGUAGACAAUAGGCCCUUAACUCCUAGUUAUCCAGGUUCGAUCCCUGGAUGAACACCCUCGUCCCACUGACGCUGCCUGGCUUUUUU